rnacentral:rRNA from 1 species
UACGGAGGGUGCGAGCGUUGUCCGGAAUCACUGGGCGUAAAGGGCGCGUAGGCGGCGCGGGAAGUCAUCGGUGAAAACUCGAGGCUCAACUUCGAGCUGUCGGUGGAAACUUUCUGGCUAGAGUCCGGAAGAGGAGAAUGGAAUUCCUGGUGUAGCGGUGAAAUGCGCAGAUAUCAGGAAGAACACCCGUGGCGAAGGCGGCUCUCUGGGACGGUACUGACGCUGAGACGCGAAAGCGUGGGGAGCGAACAGG